GCUCUGAGGAGCAUAUUUAGUGCUUAUGAUCUUCUGGAGUAAUGUGAUGUUAACCACAGAUGUACUGUUGCACUUUGAGCCCUCCCUGUGUUUCUUCGUAUUCAUGUUUCACAUUUGAAGACAUCCCACCAACACCACUGAAUCUGGCUGAGAAAGAGAGUGAACCGGACAUUGCAGACUUUGGUCUUCAUUCACCAUGCUGAGAAGACCAACUGAGAAGACCAGAGUUCCCGUGUUCAUUUCAGCCCGGCAAGGUUUGCCAUUGUGCUGGAAGGUGAUAUUGUCCUGAAUGACCUUUCGUAUUUGGCUGAUGCUUUUCUCAUGUUAGUUGGUUUAAUGUAUGCGUUAAACAUCAGCUAUCCAAAAGAACUGACCCACACCUUCAACUUCAUUUAGAAAGCCCUCAUGGGCUUGGAUGACUUUAAACCACUAGCUCCCAGGCUGCUAAAUCUAAAAAAUGAUCUGCUAGGGAGGGUGGAAUUGGCAAAUGAUUCGGUCCCUCUUGAUGGGACCUUUGUAGGUCUUGCAUUUUGUAAAUGUCUGUUGAUUCAUCACCUUUCUGUGCUCCUGUUUGUUAAACCUGCUGUUGUGUUAAGUUUGUUUUUGUUGUGUUGGAAAUUCACAAAUAUGUUCAGAAAAUGAGCUGGUUUGUGCUGUUUAAAGUGUGUUUAUUUAUUUAUUUAUUUUAUUGUUGCAGUGGAACAGGCCAUUGGACACAGAACUGUUGCUGCACCAGUGCAUGUUUA